UACGUAGGAGGCGAGCGUUGUCCGGAGUUACUGGGCGUAAAGGGUGCGCAGGCGGCGGUUCGCGUGGCGAGAUGAAAUCUCCUGGCUUACCUGGGAGGAUGGUCGCCAGACGGGAUCGCUUGAGGGUCGGAGAGGGGCGUGGAAUUCCGGGUGGAGCGGUGAAAUGCGUAGAGAUCCGGAGGAACACCAGAGGCGAAAGCGGCGACCUGGACAAGUACUGACACUCAACUACGAAAGCGUGGGGAGCAAACAGG
rnacentral:rRNA from 1 species